UGGGGAAUUUUGCACAAUGGGGGAAACCCUGAUGCAGCGACGCCGCGUGAUUUAGAAGGCCUUCGGGUUGUAAAAAUCUUUUCUACGGGAAGAAAAUGACAGUACCAUAGGAAUAAGGACCGGCUAAUUACGUGCCAGCAGCCGCGGUAAUACGUAAGGUCCGAGCGUUGUCCGGAAUCAUUGGGCGUAAAGGGUACGUAGGCGGGUAAGCAAGUUAGAAGUGAAAUCCUAUAGCUCAACUAUAGUAAGCUUUUAAAACUGCUCAUCUUGAGGUAUGGAAGGGAAAGUGGAAUUCCUAGUGUAGAGGUGAAAUGCGCAGAUAUUAGGAGGAAUACCGGUGGCGAAGGCGACUUUCUGGCCAUAACCUGACGCUGAGGUACGAAAGCGUGGGUAGCAAACAGG
rnacentral:rRNA from 1 species